AUGGUGGCUGUAGCCAUCACUUUUGUCAGUUUUCCCCUAUCUACAUCUUCCCGAUUUCUAAAAACUCUCCAAGCUUCUUCAAGUAAUUUCUCCAGAUCCCUUAUAUCUGGUUCUUGCAGUAACCGGAGUAAAAGCAGUUGCCACUCCCCCUUCUUCCUCACCGCUCCCGCCACCCUCUGUCUCAGGGAAUGGCGACUGGGGUGGAGAAAGCGGAUCUGGCAAUGGAGGGGGGGGCAUUCCCAAAUCCUCAAGCUGAUCCUCUGUUUCCUCUUUACUCUUCCUGGAUUCUGUCACUUUUAAACACCUUUGUCCAAUACUACACGCCGAGCAACACCUCUUCAUUUUCUGCUGCCCCUUCCUUUUAUCUUUCUGUUCUUUCUCGAGAGACAAAACUAGAGGGUCUUGCGGUGGUAUAUUAAAUCCACAGUCCUUUUGCCAUUCAGGAUGAUUUCGCAAAGUGAAAAACAUAUCCGCAUACAUAACCUCAUCCCAUUUUCCUUCUCUCCGUAAGAACAACAUCAACUGCAACAUAGUAUUAUAGUUCAGAGUCCCAUUAAAGGGCCACUUUUCUCCAUCAUCUAAUUUGUAUAAGGGCCACCAUUGAUUACAAUAUUUUAUCAAAGUUUUCUUAUUCACAUUCCCCCCUGAUGGUCCCCCUAUAUUUUUCCAAUGUUUUAAAAUACAUCCUAUAGGACUCUUUUUCACAAUUCCGCCACUUUGCUAUCCUCCCAUCUGUAUUAAUUUAACUCCCCACACAGUACAGUUAGAGGAUACAAUCUAUCUCCCGAAUGUUCCUCCCACUGCAUCCACAGCUGACAAUUAGGGUGCGGCGAGACUCAGACACAGACCAAUUUGAUCAAGCUGAAGCCCACUUUAUUGUUUUAACAAACUCUUUUAUAUCUUUCUUACAAACGUGUGUCCAUGUAUAAUUGGUUCACUUAAAGUCCAACAGUUCAUGAUUGGAUGACUUCCUCCUUCUUUGUUCUCUGCGGUAACUUCAGUAACUUUCCUCUGCUGGCUAUCUGACAGGUCCUUAAUCUUAUUUACUCCCUUCUUCUCCGGACUCUCAGGCCUCUUCAAGGAUACACAAGGAUACACAAGGCUGAUGCUAAGGCUCCCACGGAUGAGCCAAGGUUUCCCACAAAGAGCAACUGACAUCAUCUACCUGGACUUAUGCAAAGCGUUUGACAAUGUCCCACAUGACGUCCUGGUCUCAAAAUUGGGAAGUCAUGGGUUUGGUGGGUGGACCA
rnacentral:lncRNA from 1 species